CAGCAGUUCUCAACUUGUGGGUCAGGACCACAGAAUGGGUCAUGUCCCCAUUUUAAUGGGGGUGCCAGGGCUAGCUUAGACUUGCUGGGACCUGGGGCAGAAGCCUGAAACUUACUGCUUGAG